UACGGAGGGGGCUAGCGUUGUUCGGAAUUACUGGGCGUAAAGCGCACGUAGGCGGAUCAGUUAGUCGGGGGUGAAAUCCCGGGGCUCAACCCCGGUACUGCCUUCGAUACUACUGGUCUGGAGUCCGAGAGAGGUGAGUGGAAUUCCGAGUGUAGAGGUGAAAUUCGUAGAUAUUCGGAGGAACACCAGUGGCGAAGGCGGCUCACUGGCUCGGUACUGACGCUGAGGUGCGAAAGCGUGGGGAGCAAACAGG
rnacentral:rRNA from 1 species